GUUUUAAUAGUUUAAUUUAAAACCUUGGUCUUGUAAACCAAUAAUGAAAUCAACUUUCUUAAAACU
rnacentral:tRNA from 1 species